AAGUCGUAACAAGGUCUCCGUUGGUGAACCAGCGGAGGGAUCAUUAUAGAGUUUUAUAACUCCCAACCCAUGUGAACUUACCAUUGUUGCCUCGGUGGGCCUACCCAGAUUGGCAUACCCGGAAGUGAGCUACCAUGUAGCGAGCUACCCGGAGCGUGCCGACCCGGAGCGGCCCGCCGGUGGACUACCAAACUCUGUUAUUUUGGUGAAUCUGAGCGUCUUAUUUAAUAAGUCAAAACUUUCAACAACGGAUCUCUUGGUUCUGGCAUCGAUGAAGAACGCAGCGAAAUGCGAUAAGUAAUGUGAAUUGCAGAAUUCAGUGAAUCAUCGAAUCUUUGAACGCACAUUGCGCCCAUGAGUAUUCUCCUGGGCAUGCCUGUUCGAGCGUCAUUUCAACCCUUAAGCCUAGCUUAGUGUUGGGAAUCUACCGUGGGCAUACAGCCCGGCAGUUCCUGAAAACCAACGGCGGACUUGUAGUAUCCUCUGAGCGUAGUAAUCUCUCUCGCUUUUGUCAGGUGCUGUAAAUCUGGCCGCUAAACCCCCAAUUUUAAAGGUUGACCUCGGAUCAGGUAGGAAUACCCGCUGAACUUAA
rnacentral:rRNA from 1 species